rnacentral:misc_RNA from 1 species
AAAGUCGUAACAAGGUUUUCGUAGGUGAACCUGCGGAAGGAUCAUUCUUGUUAGAGAGAGUAUUUCGCGUUAGCGGAAUAUUCUCUCUAUCGUCUGACUCUUAUAUGUUCUCGCAAGAGGACAUAUAAGAGUCCAAGAGGAACUCAGUAGUCUCUCACCGAGGCUUCAGGGUGGGUCACUUUUAUUCAUAGAGAGACUCGGAGGCUGAUGAAGGUUUUCUGAAAAUCUUAUCGAUACACACAGUCCUCAAUCCUCGCCAAUACAAAGUGAAAUUGAACAAGAUUUUUCUUUCAACAACUAUUUCCAUUCUAUUCUUACUUCAUUACAGAGCUCUUCUCGAGCACUAUAUAACAAACAAAACUUUUGACAACGGAUCUCUUGGUUCUC